rnacentral:rRNA from 1 species
ACGAACGCUGGCGGCGUGCCUAAUACAUGCAAGUCGAGCGCAGGAAACCGUCUGAACCCUCCGGGGGGACGACGGCGGAAUGAGCGGCGGACGGGUGAGUAACACGUAAAGAACCUGCCCAUAGGUCUGGGAUAACCACGAGAAAUCGGGGCUAAUACCGGAUGUGUCAUCGGACCGCAUGGUCCGCUGAUGAAAGGCGCUCCGGCGUCGCCCAUGGAUGGCUUUGCGGUGCAUUAGCUAGUUGGUGGGGUAAUGGCCCACCAAGGCGACGAUGCAUAGCCGACCUGAGAGGGUGAUCGGCCACACUGGGACUGAGACACGGCCCAGACUCCUACGGGAGGCAGCAGUAGGGAAUCUUCCACAAUGGACGAAAGUCUGAUGGAGCAACGCCGCGUGAACGAUGAAGGCUUUUCGGGCGUAAAAGUUCUGUUGUAAGGGAAGAACAAGUGCCGCAGGCAAUGGCGGCACCUUGACGGUACCUUGCGAGAAAGCCACGGCUAAC